AUGGUGAAGGUUGGUGUGAACAGAUUUGGCCAUAUUGGGCACCUGGUUACCAAGGCUUCCUUCUGCUCUGCACUUGGCAAAGUGGAGAUUGUUGCCAUCAUGGUCUCCAUGUUCCAGGAUGACUCUACCCAUGGCAAAUUCCAGUCAAGGCUGAGAAUGGGAAACUUGUCAUCAAUGGGAAACCCAUCAUCAUCUUCCAGGAGUGAGCUCCCGCUAUCAUCAUACAGGUUGAUGCUGGUGCUGAGUAUGUCUUGGAGUCUACUGGCAUCUUCACCACCAUGUGGAAGGCUGGGCCCACUGGAAGGUGGCAACAAAAAGGUCAUUAUUGCUGCUUCUUCGGCCGAUGCCCUCCUGUUUGUGAUGGGUGUGAACCACAAGAAAUAUGGUAACUCACUCAAGAUUGUCAGCAAUGCAUCCUGCACCACCAACUGCUUAUCACCUCUGGCCAAGGUCAUCUGUGACAACUUUGGCAUCAUGGAAGGGCUCAAGACCAUGCCAUCACUGCUACUCAGAAGACUGUGGAUGGCCUCUCUGCAAAGCUGUGGCAUGAUGGCUGUGAGGUUUCCCAGAACAUCAUCCCUGCAUCCACUGGUGCUGCCAAGGCUGUAGGCAAGGUCAUCCCAGAGCUGAACGGGAAUCUCACUGGCAUGUCCUUUUGCGUUCCCAUCGCCAAUGUAUCCAUUAUGGAUCUAACAUGGUGCCUGAGGAAACCUGCCCAGUAUGAAUGCAUGAAAAAUAUGGCGAAGGGGGCUUCCCAAGGCCCAUUGAAAGGCAUCCUGGACUACACUGAGGAACACGUUGUCUCAUUGCGACUUCAACAGCAACUCUCACUCUUCCACCUUUGAGGCUGGGGUUGGCAUUUCUCUCAAUGACAACUUUGUAAAGUUCAUAUCCUGGUAUGACAAUGAAUACAGCUACUGCAACAGGGUGAUGGACUUCAUGGCCUACAUGGCCUCCAAGGAGUAA
rnacentral:lncRNA from 1 species